GUGGGGAAUCUUCCACAAUGGACGAAAGUCUGAUGGAGCAACGCCGCGUGAGUGAAGAAGGGUUUCGGCUCGUAAAGCUCUGUUGUCGGGGACGAAUGUGCAGUAUUUGAAUAAAGUACUGCAAUGACGGUACCUGACGAGGAAGCCACGGCUAACUACGUGCCAGCAGCCGCGGUAAUACGUAGGUGGCAAGCGUUGUCCGGAAUUAUUGGGCGUAAAGGGAGCGCAGGCGGGAAGGUAAGUCGGUCUUAAAAGUGCGGGGCUCAACCCCGUGAUGGGAUCGAAACUAUCUUUCUUGAGUGCAGGAGAGGAAAGUGGAAUUCCUAGUGUAGCGGUGAAAUGCGUAGAGAUCGGGAGGAACACCAGUGGCGAAGGCGGCUUACUGGACUGUAACUGACGCUGAGGCGCGAAAGUGUGGGGAGCAAACAGGAUUAGAUACCCGUGUAGUCC
rnacentral:rRNA from 1 species